rnacentral:rRNA from 1 species
AGGACGAACGCUGGCGGCGCGCCUAACACAUGCAAGUCGAGCGAUAACCAGUCCUUCGGGACUGGGGACAGCGGCGAACGGGUGAGUAACACGUGGGUAAUCUACCCUCGGUUUCGGGAUAGCCCGGGAAACCCGGAUUAAUACCGAAUGGCCUCUCAGGCUCUCGGGCUUGAGAGAAAAGGUAGCUUCGGCCUCUGACCGAGGAUGAGCCCGCGGCCGAUUAGCUAGUUGGUGGGGUAAUGGCCCACCAAGGCGACGAUCGGUAGCUGGUCUGAGAGGACGAUCAGCCACACUGGGACUGAGACACGGCCCAGACUCCGUACGGAGGCCAGCAGGUGGGGAAUCGUUGCGCAAUGGGACGAAAGCCUGACGCAGCGACGCCGCGUGACGGGAAGAAGGCCGUUCGGGUUCGUAAACCGCUUUCGAGGAGGGACGAAGGCCACGUCGGUUAAAUACGACCCGUAGACGGGUGACGGUACCGUACCGAAGAAGAACGACCCCCGGACUAACCGUACGU